UGCGUAGGCGGCGCGGUAAGUCGGGUGUGAAAUCUCGGAGCUUAACUCCGAAACUGCAUUCGAUACUGCCGUGCUUGAGGACUGGAGAGGAGACUGGAAUUUACGGUGUAGCGGUGAAAUGCGUAGAUAUCGUAAGGAAGACCAGUGGCGAAGGCGGGUCUCUGGACAGUUCCUGACGCUGAGGCACGAAGGCCGAGGGGAGACGAAACG
rnacentral:rRNA from 1 species